rnacentral:rRNA from 1 species
AACGAACGCUGGCGGCAGGCUUAACACAUGCAAGUCGAACGCCCCGCAAGGGGAGUGGCAGACGGGUGAGUAACGCGUGGGAACAUACCCUUUUCUACGGAAUAGCUCUGGGAAACUGGAAUUAAUACCGUAUACGCCCUACGGGGGAAAGAUUUAUCGGGGAAGGAUUGGCCCGCGUUGGAUUAGCUAGUUGGUGGGGUAAAGGCCUACCAAGGCGACGAUCCAUAGCUGGUCUGAGAGGAUGAUCAGCCACAUUGGGACUGAGACACGGCCCAAACUCCUACGGGAGGCAGCAGUGGGGAAUAUUGCACAGUGGGCGACUGCCUGAUGCAGCGACGCCGCGUGAAGGAAGAAGGCCCUCGGGUUGUAAACUUCUUUUUUAUGGGACGAUUGUGACGGUACCAUAAGAAUAAGGACCUGCUAACUACGUGCCAGCCGCCGCCGUAA